rnacentral:rRNA from 1 species
CCUACCCAUAGGUUGGGGACAACUCCGGGAAACCGGAGCUAAUACCGAAUAAUAUUUCAAGAACGCAUGUUUUUGAAAUCAAAGGAGGCCUCUCUAUAGAAGCUUCUGCCCAUGGAUGGAUCCGCGUCUGAUUAGCUAGUUGGUGGGGUAAUGGCCUACCAAGGCGACGAUCAGUAGCCGGCCUGAGAGGGUGAACGGCCACACUGGGACUGAGACACGGCCCAGACUCCUACGGGAGGCAGCAGUGGGGAAUCUUCCGCAAUGGGCUAAAGCCUGACGGAGCAAUGCCGCGUGAAUGAAGAAGGCCUUCGGGUUGUAAAGUUCUGUUGAGAAGGAAGAAAGAUCUAAGAGCUAAUACCUCUUAAGUUUGACGGUACUUUUCGAGGAAGCCCCGGCUAACUACGUGCCAGCAGCCGCGGUAAUACGUAGGGGGCAAGCGUUGUCCGGAAUCACUGGGCGUAAAGCGCAUGUAGGCGGGAUAUUAAGUCAGGUGUGAAAACUACAGGCUCAACCUGUAGAUUGCAUUUGAAACUGGUAUUCUUGAGUAUUGGAGAGGAAAGUGGAAUUCCUAUGUAGCGGUGAAAUGCGUAAAUAUUAGGAGGAACACCAUUGGCGAAGGCGAAUUUCUG